UCUUGACCUCGGAUCAGGUAGGGAUACCCGCUGAACUUAAGCAUAUCAAUAAGCGGAGGAAAA
rnacentral:rRNA from 1 species